CCGGGGUGAGUAAUGUCUGGGAAACUGCCUGAUGAGGGGGAGUAACUACUGGAAACGGUAGCUAAUACCGCAUAAUGUCGCAAGACCAAAGUGGGGGACCUUCGGGCCUCUUGCCAUCGGAUGUGCCCAGAUGGGAUUAGCUAGUAGGUGGGGUAACGGCUCACCUAGGCGACGAUCCCUAGCUGGUCUGAGAGGAUGACCAGCCACACUGGAACUGAGACACGGUCCAG
rnacentral:rRNA from 1 species